rnacentral:rRNA from 1 species
UCGCCUGUUUUAUCAAAAACAUGUCUUCUUGUAAUUAAUUUGAAGUCUGACCUGCCCACUGACAUUAAAUGUUGAAGGGCCGCGGUAUUUUGACCGUGCAAAGGUAGCAUAAUCAUUAGUCUUUUCAUUGAAGGCUUGUAUGAAUGGUUGGACGAGGCAUUGACUGUCUCCGUGUAAAUGAUUUUAGAAUUUAACUUUUAAGUUAAAAGGCUUAAAUAAGGUUAAAGGACGAGAAGACCCUAUAGAGCUUUACACUUGCUGUUCAUUAUAUAUUUGGGAGUAUUUUUAUAUUGGGCAAUAAAGUGUUUUGUUGGGGUGACAAGAAGAUGAAAUAAACUCUUUUUAGGUUAGAACCAUUGAUGAAUGAAUUGUUGAUCCAUUAUUAGUGAUUAUAAGACUAAGUUACCUUAGGGAUAACAGCGUAAUCUUUUUCGAGAGUUCUUAUCGACAAAAAGGAUUGCGACCUCGAUGUUGGAUUAAGAGUAAUUUUGGGUGUAGAUGUUCAAAGUUUAGGUCUGUUCGACCUUUAAAUUCUUACAUGAUCUGAGUUCAAACCGGAGA